UACGUAGGGUGCGAGCGUUGUCCGGAAUUACUGGGCGUAAAGAGCUCGUAGGUGGUUUGUCGCGUUUGUCCGUGAAAACUCACAGCUCAACUGUGGGCGUGCGGGGCGAUACGGGCAGACUGGAGUACUGCAGGGGAGACUGGAAUUCCUGGUGUAGCGGUGGAAUGCGCAGAUAUCAGGAGGAACACCGGUGGCGAAGGCGGGGUCUCUGGGCAGUAACUGACGCUGAGGAGCGAAAGCGUGGGGAGCGAACAGG
rnacentral:rRNA from 1 species